rnacentral:lncRNA from 1 species
UCCUCUGAUGUUCUGUAUAUGCAGAAUGCUGCAAAACACAUUGUUGUAUUUCCUAUCACGGUCAGCGCUGCUUGAAGAGCCACCGAUACCUAUAGAAAAUAGAGACACCUUACACUCAGUAAUGAUUUCAAUGUUUAAACAACUCUCAUUCAACAUGAAAACCGAGAUAAUACCUCCAGGGAUUCAGAGUUAUAAAAGAAAUGCCAUGUGCAUGCACAAAAUGCUCCACCAAGCAACAGUAUCUAAAUCAUCACAGCAAAAGAUUUUACGAUUACAUGGUAAAUACAGAUGAAAUAAGAAACGAGAUUAUUGCAGAAGUAAGACUUGUCGCGACCUCUUUUUUUCCGGCGCCCGCAAUCGGGUACGAACGCCUAAGG